GGGCUCGCAGGCGGUUUUUUAAGUCUGAUGUGAAAGCCCCCGGCUCAACCGGGGAGGGUCAUUGGAAACUGGGGAACUUGAGUGCAGAAGAGGAGAGUGGAAUUCCACGUGUAGCGGUGAAAUGCGUAGAGAUGUGGAGGAACACCAGUGGCGAAGGCGACUCUCUGGUCUGUAACUGACGCUGAGGAGCGAAAGCGUGGGGAGCGAACAGGAUUAGAUACCCUGGUAGUCCACGCCGUAAACGAUGAGUGCUAAGUGUUAGGGGGUUUCCGCCCCUUAGUGCUGCAGCUAACGCAUUAAGCACUCCGCCUGGGGAGUACGGUCGCAAGACUGAAACUCAAAGGAAUUGACGGGGGCCCGCACAAGCGGUGGAGCAUGUGGUUUAAUUCGAAGCAACGCGAAGAACCUUACCAGGUCUUGACAUCCUCUGACAAUCCUAGAGAUAGGACGUCCCCUUCGGGGGCAGAGUGACAGGUGGUGCAUGGUUGUCGUCAGCUCGUGUCGUGAGAUGUUGGGUUAAGUCCCGCAACGAGCGCAACCCUUGAUCUUAGUUGC
rnacentral:rRNA from 1 species